rnacentral:rRNA from 1 species
UGCGCAGCUAUCAUGCAGUCGAGCGGUGGAAGACAGCUUGCUCUCUGGAUCGUGGUUAACGGGUGAAUAACACGUGAGCAACCUGCCCCGGACUCUGGGAGAACUCCUGGCAGGGGCUGCCACUACCGGAUACGAGCUGCGAAGGAAUCUUCAUCAGCUGGAAAGAAUUUCGGUCCGGGAGGGGUUCGCGGCCUAUCGGCUAUUUGGUGAGGUAAUGGUUCACCAAGGCGUCGACAGGGAGCCGGCCUGAGAAGGAGACCGGCCCCACUGGGACUGAUACUCGGCCCAAACGCCUACGGGAGGCAGCCCUGAGGAAUAUUGCACAAUGGGCGAAAGCCUGAUGCACCAUCGCCGCGUGACGGAUGACGGCCUUCCGGUUGUAAACCUCUUUUACCAGGGACGAAGCGAACUUGACGGUACCUGCAAAAAAUGCGCCAGCCAACUACGUGCCCUUGACCGCGCCUAUACGUAAGGCGCAGGCGUUAUCCGGAAUUAUUGGGCGUAAAGAGCUCGUAUGCGGUUUGUCGCGUCUGCUGUGAGAACCCGAGGCUCAACCUCGGGCCUGCUUUGGGUACAGGCAAACUACACUGCGUCAGGGGAGAAUGGAAUUCCUGGUGUAGCAGUGGAGUGCACAGAUGUCAAGAGGAACACUCAUCGUGUAGGCGUAUCUCUGGGCCGUAACUGAAGCAAAGGAGCGAAAGGGUGGGGAGCAAACAGGCUUAGAUACCCCUGGAAGUCCACCCCCUAGACGUUGGGAACUAAUUGUGUGGUCCGUUCCACGGAUUCCGUGACGCAGCUGCUCAGUAUUGUCCCCGCCCGGGGAGUACGGGCUCAAGGCUAAGCCUCAAAGGAUUUGACUGGGGACCCACACAAGCAGCGGAGCAUGCCGAUUAAUUCGAUGCAGCGCCGAGAACCUUACGGAGGCAUGUGACAUAUACUUAGAACCGGAGCGCAGAAGUAGGCUCUACUCUCUCGUACACUCGUCACACGAGCUGGUGCAUAGGAUGUCCCUCUGCCUCGUCGUCGUGCAGAUGUUGAGAUUGAGUUCGCCGCGACUAGUCGCCAGCCUUCGGUUCGUAUGAUAGCCUGCACGUUAGUGCCUGCGUACGUCAUGCGGACUACUGGUCCGUGAUUAGCCUACGAUGCAAGGUGGGCAUGCACGUCGAAUCAGUCAUGUCCACAUUAAUCCGUGUCUAUGGGAGAGGCUUGCAGG